GACCGGUCCUCGGGCCCCCCGGCACCGCCGGCCCUGCUUCUCCCGAUACCGCCGGCCCUGCUUCUCCCGGCACCGGCAGCCGCGGGACCCCGGGAACCGAGCCCGACAGUGCCCUCAGCUCAGGGCUCUCCCUGCGUGGGCGCCGUGUAAGGGCCGUGGCGCCGCCCUGGCUGCAGAGCGCGGGGCGGAUUUGGGGCAGUUCGUGCACCGCUGUGGGGAGAGAGGGAAAAGAGCCUCGGUGUUUGCGGGAGACGCGGAGCAGCGAUCCGCAUCCAAGCCGGGGCGCGGGGUAGCGUGUUUAGCACCCAGGUUUCAUGUCAUCUUGACAUAGCUGAGGCCAAUGAUGAAAUCUUUAAUGACCUGCACAGGGCUUGGAUUUUAUCCUUCAGUGAUCACAGCCUGCUAUCUGCCCUUCUCUCCAAGGAGUGAGUAGUGGCAAGUCUCCUGAAAAGGAUCAACAUUUUUUUAAAUUGUUCAAAUAUGUGUGCUGGCAGGUGGCUAGCAAAUGUGUUUAAGGUAAACCAAUGUGGAAAUAAUCUGUUAUAAUGAAAUAUGCAUUGAAGUCUGGGUUAGCUCUUCUGUACCAGCCAGCAGCUGCUUCCAUGCAGAACCUGCUGACUGUGAAUCCAUCUGCAUUUCCAAGAGGGUUGGACUUUGGUGUUUGAGAUGAUAAAAUAGUUAGAACUAUCUGAAAUGUGCAUAAUUCCUAUUAUUCUUACUGUGUCUUUUCCCUAAAUAUUACUCAUAAGAGAAACAGAAAAAUGUGUGCAAAAUAGCAAGUAGCACUUUCUUUUUUAGCAUGCAACAGGAACUUUUAUAAACAGCUGUUAAUAAAAGUACAGGGAGUGUUAUGUGGUGACUGAGGCCAGUUCUCCCCACAUCCUGCCUGGAGAUGGAGGGCUUUUCUAGUCUGAAGAUACAGGAAACAGCCAAGCCAGUCCCCCCAGAUCCUUUCACAGCAAUGCAACUGAACAAUUUAUUCAGAGAGUUAUGGGACCCCAUCUGCACUUGUAUCAAAAGCAUGUUUUUAUUUGCAUCUAAAUUUUCUAAUGGUCUCUUUCCUUGGAGGAUGGACAGAAAUGCUCAAAGCAGGAACCAGCUUUCUUUCUUUACUGUUCAACUAAUCAAACUCUCUUCCCCUGCUUCUAAUUUUUGAUUUCCUCCUUUGCUAGGAAGAUUCCUUGCAUUCCUGUAUGGAUGCCUCUCUCAUGCCUCAGAGGUUCUCUGUAAUAAAUAAGAGGAGAAGGAGAAAAACUCCUUGUUCCACAUUAAAAUGUAGUGAGUUAAUGAUUUUAGAUUGUGCUAAUAAAUUUUUUCCAAGUAUUUCAAUCCAAGUUGUAUGUCCUGCCAAAUCUCUGGAGCAACAUACAGAAAGUGCAGUUAAUAUUCAGUAUUGACCUGUAAUUUUUCAUGAUUUUGGACAUUUGGGAUUCUCUUAUCAUUUUCCACUGGUCGUUUUUUUCCUAAUCCUUAGACCUUGUGUUGAUAUUUAUGAGUUCACAAUUACUUCUGAUGUUUUAUUCAAGCCAUUUAAAAUUAAAGUUUAUCAGCACUAAGCUGUACAUGGAAAAAAAAUCUGUCAGAAUAGUACAAAUACUAAAUAAAUACUGCAUGAGCAAUGCUCAGAAUUCAGGGCAAAUGCAAAAUUAACAGUUUCAUGUGAUAAAGCUACAUGAAUUUUCAUAUGCUGGCAAUAAAAGGACCAUAAUUUUUCUUCAUUA